rnacentral:tRNA from 1 species
GGGGAUUUAGCUCAGUGGUAGAGCGCUUGCCUGGCAAGUGCAAGGCCCUGGGUUCGGUCCCCAGCUCCA